rnacentral:lncRNA from 1 species
GGGAAUGGUAUACGAUGGAUUAGCUAUUUUUUCUCAUGUUCUUGUGUAAUGAUAUUGUCCAAAAUGGUAUCAGAAGAUUAUUUCAGAGGGUAAAAACAAACUAUGAAGUCCUAUAUCCCGUAUGUCGGUUUUUAAAAAAAGUGUGGGAAAUGGGCUUCAGCAUUGUGAGACGUUUGAAGUUUUUCUUUCAUAUGGUGGCUUUUGAACUUGACCUCGAUCGGAAGAAACUGAAACACAUUUUGGCCGGCAAGAAUUUGAAGUGAGGCGAAAUAUGAGUUCUGUUUUUCCGUACGAAGGCAUAGUCAACACUUAUGCAGUAUGCUGGGAGCACAAAACGAAGGCAUCCGUGGAAGGAACAGCAAUGCUGGGAGCAGGCUGUUCGCAGAAAGUGAUCAAGCGCGCAAGCCACCAGCCAGCUGACGCAGAGCCCAGAGGGCGUUCGCCACCAACAUCCGCACGGCGCAGCUGCAGAGAUGAUUUCUGCCAUGGAGCAGCAUCCGCGGCUCCAUAACAUCAUCCUUCCAUCAUUCUCCAUCAUCAUUCCCGGAGCUCACCCGGCGGCGCCCGCGCCCCGCCUGGCCGUCCAGCUUGCGCGCUCCGCCGCGCGCCGCGGGCCCGGCUCGCCGGAACGUCCGGCUUAGUUCGGCGUUUGAGGCGCGGCGGGGGGCACCGUCUCUGUGCCCUGCUCCGGGUCCCCGCCGCCUGCGGUCUCUUCUGCUGCCGCCACUGAGGGGAGCGGCUCUUCUUUGAAGACGGCAUCGGUCGACGGUGAUGCUGGCGGGCCGGUGGCGGCGUGCCCCGUCGGCAGCGCGCCUCGGGAGGACGCUGGUGACGACGAAUCUUCAUCGCCGUCGGCACCGGUCGCGAGCGAGUCGCUGUUUAGUUGGCCUGCUACAGACUUUGCUGUGCCAAAAAGUGCGACUGUGGCCAGACUGGUAUACGAUUUGUCAGUGCUUACGCCCCUCUUGCCGUGCCGGCCGUGCUCUUUGCCGUCUAUUGAGGAUGCGUUAGAGUUAUCGUUUUGGGGUUUUAUACCGGUAUCAAGAUUGAUUUAAAAGAUGGAUUUCAUCACAUUCCUCGCGCACGUUCCACACGUCAUUUUGGUGUUUUGUAUGAUGGUAAAACGUGCUUAUACCUUUUCUCUGUUACCAAUGGGCCCUAUUAGGUACUGCAUCUCCUGCAUUAUUAGGUAGAGAUGCAGUACCAUUAUUAGGUACUGCAUUAUUAGGUACUGAAGGAGAUGCAGUUAGGUACUGCAUCUCCUUCGGAGAUGCAGUACCUAACAGAUGCUUUCAAGCCUUUCAGUGAACUUGUAGAGAUUUAACGUCAGGUGUUUGGCGUAUUUAGAUGAUUUUCUUUUUAUGUCCAAGGACGCUGAAUGGUAUCGCUGCGUUUCUGACUAGUGUUGGGUUGUGUAUUAAUUUCAAUAAAUUAGUUCUCGUUCCGUC